rnacentral:rRNA from 1 species
UACGAAGGGGCUAGCGUUGUUCGGAUUUACUGGGCGUAAAGCGCACGUAGGCGGAUCGUUAAGUCGGGGGUGAAAUCCUGGAGCUCAACUCCAGAACUGCCUUCGAUACUGGCGAUCUUGAGUCCGGAAGAGGUGAGUGGAACUCCUAGUGUAGAGGUGGAAUUCGUAGAUAUUAGGAAGAACACCAGUGGCGAAGGCGGCUCACUGGUCCGGUACUGACGCUGAGGUGCGAAAGCGUGGGAGCAAACAGG